GUCCAGGAGGUUCAGAGUUCCCAUCAGAGAUCCCAUUGGUAACUAGAUUAGCUAGGAGAGUCCCCGGGAGCUGGGAUUGAGCUGCAGCCUUCAGAUGGACAAAUCCUGGCAAUGACCCUGUGGGCAUUACAAGGACCAGUACCGGCCUGUGGGCUGCACACAGAUGCUCGGGAGCCUUGUGAUUGGCCAGCGGGGCUGCUGAGGGUGAAGGCAGCAGCUGCCCGUCGUGACAAAGGGCCCGGAGCUGGAGGAACAGAGGACCUGGGUCCCCUUCCUAGCCCCCUGAUGUGGAUUCCCAUUCUUUGGGGAAGACUCCAACCCUGUUCCUUACCUGCUUUCUGGAAUUGCCAGCAUUUACCAAAUUCAGACUUCCAGACUCAUGCUAUCUCCCUCCCUGCCAAAGAGAUGGGCCUCAACACGCUUCCUGAGGCACUGGACAAGGACACCGGUGAAGAAUGACAGUCAUUCAACUGGAGAAUUAAU